rnacentral:rRNA from 1 species
AUUCGCCCUUAGAGUUUGAUGGUGGCUCAGAGUGAACGCUAGCGGUGCGCCUAACACAUGCAAGUCGAGCGGCCUUCGGGCAGCGGCAGACGGCUGAGUAACACGUUGGUACCUACCCCAUACUCAGGGAUAACCCGCCGAAAGGUGGGCUAAUACCGGAUAGUUCCCGCAAGGGUAAAGCUUUUGCGGUAUGGGAUGGGCCUGCGGCCUAUCAGUUUGUUGGUAAGGUAACGGCUUACCAAGACGAUGACGGGUAGCUGGUCUGAGAGGACGACCAGCCAGAAUGGAACUGCGACACGGUCCAUACUCCUACGGGAGGCAGCAGUGAGGAAUCUUCCGCAAUGGGCGAAAGCCUGACGGAGCGACACCGCGUGAAGGAUGAAACCCUUUUCGGGCGUAAACUUCUGUUCUGAGGGACGAAAUUUUUGACGGUACCUCAGGAGAAAGCACCGGCUAAUUCCGUGCCAGCAGCCGCGGUAAGACGGAAGGUGCAAGCGUUACUCGGAAUCACUGGGCGUAAAGCGUCCGCAGGUGUCCCCGCCAGUCUGGCGUAAAAGCACAGAGCCCAACUCUGUGUACGUGCUGGAAACUACGGGGAUGGAGUCACUCAGAGGCAUCUGGAAUAUCGUGUGUAGGGGUAAAAUCCGUAGAUCCACGAUAGAACGCCAAAAGCGAAGGCAGGAUGCUGGGGGUGUACUGACACUCAUGGACGAAAGCGUGGGGAGCGAACGGGAUUAGAUACCCCGGUAGUCCACGCCCUAAACGAUGCGUGCUCGGCGUUGGGAACUCAAUCGUUCUCAGUGCCUCAGCAAACGCGGUAAGCACGCCGCCUGGGUAGUACGGCCGCAAGGCUAAAACUCAAAAC